GCGAAGUUUUUGGGACCUGGGGGCAGAUCCUUCGUAAUGGCUUGGUGCUGGAUUUGUAGUAGUGAGCUUCCUGAGGCCCUCACCAAAUUCAGACACUGGCACUAGGCAGAAUGAGCCUGGGAAGUUCAAGAUGGAGGCACCUGUAGAUUUGUUAUCAGAUAAGAAAAUUGAUUUUAUCUAUUUACCUUGAAUGCAGAGAUUUUGCUAAAACAGAUUAAUCCAGAUGGAAUGAGAGCAUCUUAAAAAAUCAAACAUUUCAACUGAGUACCGAAAGAAAUAUUAGAGCAUACCAGGAUCUCAUGUUUAUCAUCAAGAAACUACUUGUGACCAAUAUGUAUUUAUAAAAAUAUAUCUCAUAAUAUUUUUAAGGAUUGAAAGAAGGGAUAUCUAAAUUCUAUAAAGAUGAUGAGCUAGAUAAAAAUUGCCUUUUUUCUUCAGUAUGAGAAGAUAUAAAUCUUCGGUUUUGCUUCCAAUAAACUUGUUAUUACUUCCA
rnacentral:lncRNA from 13 species